UUUAAUUAAAUUUCGUGGACAAUAUCGAGGAAAUUCCCAGGUAUUGUCAACAGUAACAAGGCUACCUUAGAGCAAUUCAAGAAUGAAUCAAAAAGAUUAUUACUGUUUAGGGAAUUAAAUUUUUCCGACUUAAAAUGUUUCUUUUGAAGUAAGCUCAAAACAGAUUUAUUUAUACCAAUGAAAUUUAAGUGCUGAUGUUCAAAAUUCAUCUAAUGAUUAUGAUAAUUAUGAAAUUUUAAUUAUAUUUUAAAUUUCAAGAUUAAGAUUAUAAAUAUUUUACAGACGCUUAGAUAGAAACCGAAUAUAUUUGCAAGUACUUUACAUCAUCUGCUGGAUCUUGCUGGGUCAUUCCAUAUGAAAUCAUCCAGACCUUGACAUCCUUACGCUUCUGUUUAUUACCUAACUUGCAGUCUGUAUUAAAAAAAUUAAUAACUGCACAAAUUUUAGUUAAAAACACACAUGGGCUCCAGAGAUAUCGUCAGUUGAAAUAAUGCUAACUCUGCAUUUUAGUGAUUAUCUAAAGUGACAUCAAAGCUACUUUUUUAUAUAAAUUGAGAAACAAUUUCUUGGAUUGGCAAUUUCUUGAAUUGAGAAACAAUUUCUUGGAUUGGCAAAUAAAAAUAUGUAGCUGUGUGUAUUUGUAACUAAUUAAAGGUCGAAUAUCUGUGUUCUAUCGGCGGUAAACAUCCAAAGUAAAUACGACGUGUGUUGGGAGUCGUCUUUUCAAAAAACUUAAGCGUUUUAUGUAAUUUUAACGGAUCUUCAAGUAAAUGAUAGCUACUAGAAUGGGGAAGAUUAAGUUGCGAAGUUAUCAUUUUGUAUUAUAGUCAACAGUAAGAAUUCCAAGGAUAAAGAUAUUUACCCGAUCGUUUAAAGGUGGUUUCAGAGAGCAACAGAUCAGGGAGAUGGGACAGAGAGCAACAGAUCAGGGAGAUGGGACAGAGAGCAACAGAUCAGGGAGAUGGGACAGAGAGCAACAGAUCAGGGAGAUGGGACAGAGAGCAACAGAUCAGGGAGGUGGGCGAAUAAAUAGACAGAAGAAUAGCAAGCUUAUAAAUAAUUAAUUGCAGUUAAUAAAAAUAAUAUUUUGUUAUUAUUUUCUUUUGCAAAUUUAUAAAAGCUUAUUUAUCUUGGUUUUGUUAAUAGUUCUAAUUUAUCUUAAUUAUCAUUAUUAAUUAUCUACUAAAUUGUCACGUUUUUAAAUACUAGCGUUUUAAAAUAUUGUUUUUAAUUAAAGCUGCUAAUAAU